UACGUAGGGUGCAAGCGUUGUCCGGAAUUAUUGGGCGUAAAGAGCUCGUAGGCGGUCUGUCGCGUCGGCUGUGAAAACCCGGGGCUCAACCCCGGGCCUGCAGUCGAUACGGGCAGACUAGAGUGCGGUAGGGGAGACUGGAAUUCCUGGUGUAGCGGUGAAAUGCGCAGAUAUCAGGAGGAACACCGGUGGCGAAGGCGGGUUGCUGGGCCGACACUGACGCUGAUGCGCGAAAGCCAGGGGAGCGAACGGG
rnacentral:rRNA from 1 species